GCAGUUGUUGUUAAAGUCAUCAGAUGAAGCUAGCCUUCUCAGCUAGCCUUUAGAUUUGUCUGCUAACAGUAAAAAUACUAUAAUAAAUCGGUAACAUAUGUUGCCAGGCAAGGAAAAGUGAUAUAAAUAAAGAGACUGGGAGACCCAAACCAAGUACAAUAUUGCAUUCUUACCCAAAUACUCUUCGUGAUUGCCUGCUUUGCGGCUUUGGGGUAAGUCCCAGUUUUCCACAACCUUAAGAAAAAAAAAUGCAUAACAUAAAAGAUGCCAGAAAGACUUAUGUGUCCUGAUAUUCGGGGUCUGUGAAAUAUACAUGGGUUUGUUACUGGGGGUGGGAGGCAUAAUGAAAUAAAGAAAAGCGAUUUGUUUCUGCAAGGAUCAAAAGUGUGCGAAAGUGUGCAUAUGCAAACGAGGCUCCCAUCAGGAAAGCCACCUCUGGAAUGGAAAUGACAAAGCUUGGAACACACACAAUCAAUUAUUUUCACCAGCAUUUAAAAUAUAGAAAACAAAAUCUGCUUUGGGAAUUGACUGAAUAUUUUAUUUAGCUUUUUUAUUGAGACAUCCUUUGAAAAAUGGCGUAAUAUAAAUAGUUUUACAAAGCGACAAUAUAAUCAAUCUCUAAACUAGAAUAUAAAUCAAGGAUUUCAUUAACUGCUGGUAGCCAGUUUAAAUUGUAGUCUUGUCCAUAAUGUCUAUCUAUCUAUGUAUGUCCAAGUUAUAUUAAAAACCUUUAAAUGGCUUUGUAAUAUCAGCUACAUCUAGCUAUUAUAAUAAUUAAUGGUACUGUUUUAUAAAUCAAUACAUGUAUUCUUGAUAAAUUCAUAUCCAGUUAAUGGUGUAAUUUAAAUAAAAAAUUAAUGUAAUAAAGGACAUACAGAAGCGGGCAGGAAAUCUUUAAAGGUUAAGAGCCAAAUUUGUCUAAAUUCAUUUUUAACCUGUUUUGGAAAAGUUUAUAUUUAAAAUCAGCUAAGACUUACCUUGUUUCUGUAAAACUAAUCUUGCCAUUUCUGGUGGUGUCUAGAAUUAAAUUUGUAAGAUGUUUUCUGAUGUUGUUUUAAUUACAUAGUUACAAUACUGUGGAAUAUUUUACUGUCAUUGCACUAUUUUGUGACUAUUGCAUAUUCUUUAGUAAAACAGAACAAAACAAACUAAAAACCUCAUACCAGCAAUUUAUUUUUAAUACACAAAUGCAUGUAAAUGAUUUAUUUUUUGAAAAUCUCCAAAACUAUAUACACAUUUUUUUUAAGGGGAAAAAGGACGGACUAGUUCAAUAAAUUUGCAUGUGGAAGAGCCGAGCAUUUUCACUGCUUCCGCUGAGUGAACAUUCCAAGAAUUUUAGAAAGAAAAGAAAAAUGCAUGAAAGAGUCUGAAAUAUAUUUUAACGCUGCACCCGGGUACAGGAACAUUCUACCAAAAGAUGAGUGUAUUAUAGUUCUAAUUUAAAGAAUACAUACCAAAGACAUAUUUAAAAAAUAACAAGAUUUAGAAAAACAACUGAAGGUUGUAUGUUAUCAGAUACAAUAUCAAAUCUUUCCAAAUAAAAUUUCAUUUGGUUCAUAAGAGUAAGCGUUUUACAAAAAAUAUCUUUCAAAAUUAUGCAGACCAGUCUGCCCUGCCAUCCUCCUUGACAUGUUGCAGAAAUGUUCCUUUAAUCCACUGAGCUUUUUCUGACAUUUUUCUUAACAUUGCUGAGCCUUAUUUAGAGCACCAAAGGAGGCGUGUGCAGUUUCCUUUGACACUGAUGGGUAUUUCAAAAUGUUACAGAGAGAGGGGGGAAAAAAGAGAAAGAAAAGAUUUGCUGCCAGUCACUUCAUCAAUAGAGCUACAGAAGCAAUUACUAUUUGUUAAAAGUUUACAUUUCAAAUGAAGCUAAAUUUUAAAGAAGUCUCAUCCUUUUAGAAGGACUGGUGCUUCGAUGAGAGAGGAAGAGAAUGCACAUGAGUGAUUACAUGUUAAAGUGCACUCAAGUACUGGAACCAUUUAAAAUGUAUUGUGUUUUUAGUCGAAACCUGCAGCAAAACCACUCCUAAGAGGCUUAAUUUAGGUUUUAUAGGAGGAAAAUAAAAAAGACCAGGUUACAGCAACAUGCUGAAAUAUGGGGUACAUUUUAAGUAUCUUCAUUUAAAAACGUAUGUUUAUUUCCCCUCCUGGGAUCACUAACGUGUGUCUCCACAGAGAAAGCAAGGACAUGCAUUCUUAAAAAUUAUCUGUUAAAGGGAUCACAUUCCAAGACAGGUUUGAGCAUUUUUAUUACUACAGAUAACCUCUUAAUUAUGUCACUGCCUUCCACUUAUUAAUCAGGGACAUUCAACAUAGUUAACCAUGGAGUGGUUGUCUUUAGAAGAAUACAUUAUCAUUAAGGAUUAGAAACACAUUUUAUUCCUAUAAUCAUACUGCAUGUGUGGUUUUAGCACUGCUAAAACCCUAUCUACCUGCUUUAAAUACGUAACACCUAAGAAAGGAUCUAGAUGCCUAUAACAAUGUUGUUCACUACUUCAAACUGUGCAGUCCAUGGAAAGCUUUAAGAGACAGAUAAUUUUACUUUUCUUGUCCCCCUCCUCCACCUCCUCCAUGUCCCGUGCAAUUCCUAUUUGAAUUGAUUUUAGGUUUCUUGUGCAGCCCCCAGCAUCUGAGAUACUCAGGUACUCUUUCAGAGACCAAGGUGUAAGUGAAGUAAAUAAAAUCAUGUUUCACUGUUGCUUUAUCAACCCUCCUAGGUAGUUUUUCUGCCAGCCAACCUGCGCCGUUAAGACCCAUAAAAUGAUGCACUAGUGACUUCUUUGGAGGUUCUCUAAUCAGAUAGUGGCUGGUGUUGGGAGGCAAGGACCCAAGGCAAUGUUUCUGGUACUUAACACUGUGGCUGGUCAUUACUUGUCUAGUAGAGACCAAUAAACAGCUGAUUACUAUCCAAUAUGGAGCCGAUAUUUUACAUUUAUCCUAGUUAUUUUUUCCUUUUCAAGUUCUUAUAACAGGAAGUUUUGUCAAGAAGAUCUUUGAGUAAUAGCCUCCCAGGCACCUUAAAAAUAAGAAUUUUCCUACCAUGAAAUGAUGCCUUUUGUGGAAAGGUGGGAAUGAUUCUGGCUUUUACAAGAGCAAAGGUUUGAUUCAUUUCAAGCUCAUUUCUUUCAGACAGGGACACUCCCCGACACCAUCCCUGCUGCUCCCUGUCCCUUUCCCCCUCUAUGACAGGUUCACAGGCUGCAACCAAGGGAUUUUAAAAUGCAAAGGUUUACAUUAAUAUUUGCACUCUGGCAAUAACAGGCCCAUUUUGCUUCCUCUGUAAGCCUGUGAUAAUUGAUGCUUCAUACCUGGAACUAUGUUUCAUUUAUCUCUUUACUCAUGAAGAUAGUAUAUAAAUAAAAGGCAAUGUAUGGAAAGGAACCAACCAUCUGAAAUAAUAAUCCUAAAUCCUACUAGAUAAUCUUUUAAAGCUGUAAGAGUCAGAGACGGAGAUUUCUAAACUUUUAAAGAAAACUUGAUUGCAAACGAGAAACCUGUGCAUUUUUGAAUGCUUAUUGAAUUUGAAUGUCUGUGUGGGCCAAAAAAGAAUCAGAGGGACAAAUGGAAGGCAGGAAAGAAAAGGUGUAAAUUUUAGACGUGUUUUAAAUUAAUUAAUGACAUAUUAGACUCAUUACAAUUUUAUUGGCUUUCCCUUUACAUUUGAAUAUAAUUUUUUACUAGCCGAUGCAAGCUGCAAAAUGGUGAGUCUUCUAAGCUGCCUUUCCUUCCCUGGGAUCCUCAUCUUAGAAUGAGCAGAGGCACAUUGAUAAGAACUGGACCUUGAUUUCACAACCUCAUACAAAGCCAGGCAAUUCUUGAGCCAAACAAACAAAGGGGGUGUAAGCGAUUUCAUUUAUUUUGAUAAUCCUCCUCUUGCACGGGAGCAUUUUGCUGUCUUUGUCAAAGUGAAUGACAACAAUUUGGCCAACUCUCUCUGAGCUGCACUCAACAGUGACAGGCAAAUUAUCAGAGGCCCUGCACUUCUUAUUAUCAGAGGAGAAGCCAUCAGGGGGACGCAUGGAGGAUACCUCUCCCUUGUCACUAUUUGUCAGUGGGACAAGGGCCACUGCUAUGGGUAGCUGACAGGUAAUUUCAACAAUAACAAUUACUCCUAUUACUGGUGUCAUAAACAAUUCGCCCAAGGCAUGACAAUAGCAAAGCUUUAUAAUUCAAUGCCAUAUAAAUAAAUGCCAGCAGGUAACAAGUAAUUUAGCUCCAAUCAAGAUUUCACCCCGGCAUUAAUAUUGUUAUUGCAAGAAAAUGGAAAAUUGAAAAAAUUCAAUAUGUUAAUGAAUUAAGAGAGGUUCAAGGGCUAGACAAGAGGAGUUGGAAAAAGGAAACCAAAAUUAUUGUGGUAUCAUAUUUGGUGCCAUCCUCGGGGCCAAACAUCAGUAUAAUUAAGACAAGAAGGGGAACUGGAGUGCCUUAGAUCUCAGAGCAGGGAAAAAUGUGACAUGAGCUUUCAAAAAAUCCACCUAACUCCAAUUUCUGAAGAAUAUAAGGAGAAAUAUGAGAAUGUAUAUAUAUAAUGUAGCAUUUCACUGGCUUUCUUUUUCUACCUGAAAUAUUUCAUGUGAAGCAGAAGCAUGAGUAUCAAAGGAACGUUUCCAUCUGUUUAAGAAAAUUGUAUCAGCACCUGCUUCCUUUACAUUAAGUCUCAUAAUGAAACAAUUUUAAUGAUCCUUUUUUUUUUUUAUCUGGGGUGAAGGUAAAGCUGAAAGUCAUCUUUGCUCUCCAGCUGUCCACCUUUUGGAAGUGGACUAGAGGAUACAGUGUUAUCUUCAUACUCAAAACUUCCUGAUCAAACCAAUUUGCAAUUUUAGUAUUUGUCCAGCAAGACAAUAUGCCAUCAUGGUGACAGCAGUAAAAGAAUUUGAAAAUCUCUAAUUAGGAGAGCUGCACGCCAAUUAACGCAUGUCAAAUUUCACUUCAUCAAGUGCCACUCUAAUUUUCCCUCUAAAAAUUAAUGGAUUUUUUUUCUUUUGGUAUGUGUGUGUGUCCCCUUAAGGCAAUGUUGAUUCAAAUCUGCUCAAGAUGCAGUGUUGCACAGCUAAGCAUCUUCUUGAUUACAAUCCGCCACACUUCUAACUGCGCUCAUUCGCACUGCCACGGAUACUUUGUCAACAGUCAAAUUACACCACGCUGAUAACAAUGCAUAAUGGUGUUCCUCCUCCAGUCCCCUGUCAGGAGAGGGGCUUCAUAAAAAUGUCAUGUUUUCUUCUCAACUGUAUCUAAAGGAAGUUUGUAUGACCAGGUCCCCAGUCAGGCAUUGAUUUUUAAAAUUAGUUUGUUAAUUUCAAAGAAGAAGAAGAAGAAGAAGAAGCAAAAUGAUGGCAUAUAAAAAGUCCUAAUUGAAAAAAAAAUCAGCAAAGAAUGAGGAAUGGAGAAUAUCUAUGGCCAAAGUUUUGCUUAAACACUUUGUUCUGAGACAUUUUCAAGAGCACUAUUCUUGGUUAAAUACCAGAUUUUUUUUGUCUUUACUUAUGGUCUAUAAACAUUGGAAGCCUCUCUUGACCAGACUGUAUUUAGAUUGUGCUAGAAGUUUGUUUAACUGCCAUAUUUGCCAGAAUCCUCAAAACAUCACAGGACACAGAAGACAAAUGACUUUGUGUGUUGGGGGGGGGGUUGUGGGGGGGAAGUGCGUAAGGGGGUCAGGACUGUAUAUUCCAGAUAAACGUUGAUUCACUUUUAACUAUUUUUUAUCCUAGUUGCUUGUUGCAGAUUGGUGUGUCUGAGGCAUCAGCACACGUGGGGAAUAUUUCUCACUGAAAAAUGAAAAAAAGAAAUGCAGUGAUUAGAAGAUGAUUUUACAUUUAGUCUUUUUAGAUAUUAUUCAGAUUUCUUAUUUUUCAAAAACAAUCAGAACCAGAACAAAAACAAGGACAUUAAACAAAAUUUUAAAUAUAUUAUCUCAUAGAUUCCUCAGGGAGUAGAGAACAUUCACACGGAUUGACAUCCCAGUUUUCUCAGCAUGUAAGCAUAUUGUAAUCCUAUUUAUUCACUAAAAAUUUAAAUUCAUGAGAUCUGCACUUUAUUUUCUUUAAUCUGUAGGCCGAAUACAGCUUCUUAUUCACUGAUGACUAACUCAAAAUUUUAAAACGAUAUUUUUAGGUUUGUAUUUCCAAAUAUUAAAAGCGUCUUCCUUCUCUUAUGGUCCCACCCCAGCAUGUUCUUAAGUGGUCUAUUUCAAACAAAAGAAAAUGACAUCCCCCUUUCAACUAGCCAAACAUUAGAUUCUCUCAGAACUGAUUGGGGGUUCACUAGAAGUUUUGCAAUUAGAUUCAUACAAAUUGAAUUAUUUUCUUUUUUUCCAAACAUCGUUCUUAGAACUUUAUAAAUGUAGCAAUACUGGCUUUACAGUUUCAUGUGGCUCAUUUACAAAUAAAGGUAUUUUAAUAAAACCAAGUUCUGUGUAACUUUGAGAAACAAAAAGCUGGAACAAUCUCACAUUAAAACAUUACAAAAGGAUUGUAAUGGGAAAUUUAAAGGGAGAAAACUUGAUUCUAUAAUGCAAUCCAGCAGUAAUCAAUUUUACCUUCAAUAUCUUGCUUUUGUUUUCAAAAUGCUAAAUAAACAAUACAUAAUGCAUCCCUCAUCAGCCAAACCAUGGAGGCUCUGUGCUCAAAUAACAGGAAACAUAUUCAAUUUUCCUAACAGAAGACAGUUCAUUAAGCUGUGCCACAUCAAAUAAAACUUUAAUUUCUCCAGCAUCAGAGUCGCAAUGAAAGCAAUUGAAGAAGAUGAGCCAUAUGGUACUUCUAUCAGCAAACACAUAUUGCUCAUUCCCCCAAAGUUUUCUAAUUCUGCUCCCCAGACCUGUGUAAUAUAGAUAAUGUGCUCCGAGAGCAGCAACCAUGAGCUAUCUAGUGUACACUUCUAAUACUGUAUUUAAUGGGAAAUAAUGAAUCAUAAAAGCCUAGAGAAGACGGCUUUUGCUAACCUAAAUCUCAGCUGUAAUUUCAUUGUUCUGUGCCUAAGAUGCUGUUUGCCCUUUCCAAACAACAGCAGUUGAACAUAAUUAUGCUGCUUCGAACCUGGGUUUGAAAAAGCAUCCCUAAUAUAACCAACUUUCUAUUAACUCCUGAAAUUCUGAAUUUAAUGAUGCACCAAUACAGGCAUUGAGAUAACCAAGCAUGUGUCAUUUAAAAAUCCAAACAAGCAUUUUUCUUCUUCUUCUCUUUGGUCAGACUGCUCAAUGCUUUUAUGCGUCCUCCUCCACUCCCUGCUUGCGUCCAUCCCCCAUCCCACACCCCACCCCAUGCAACAGGAGUGGCAUGAUUAAAAAUGAGGAGAUUUUCUUGUUAUUAGCAAAUUUGACAUUUGCCUGAUGAAAUGCACAUAGAAUGUGAAAGCUAUACAGUACUCAGAAGAAUGUCUCCACUCCAAUCCUAGCUACCAAGAUGAAAUAAUUUAGGUAAAGGAAAUGUAAAGGUCCUUGUACAUCUCUUGCUGCAGAAUGCUAGGGUUGUGUUAUAAAUGAAAGAACCAAAUAUUGCUGAGCUUUAGGAGUGAUAGUAUUCCGACACAUGUGAAGCUCAUGGUGUUUCUUCUCUCACCUUAGCUGCUUUGACAAUUCACUUAAACAUAAUACAUAUGCUCAAAUGCAGCACCUUACGUGUCGUGAGCCCAGCCUUUCUCUGGUUUGAGAUCUUGGGGCUGGGGCUUUGUUCAUUUUUAGGAAAAAAUGUUGCUUUUUCCUCUAACUAGGUCAAUAAUUCCAGCUUUUCCAUUUUUAAAGCUUAUCAAAUCAAUAUUUUACCAACAUGAUGCUAAUUUAGAACAUCAUCAGAUAACACUGUGGAUACAUAUUGAAAACAUAUUUUAAUGGUUUUGUUUGUUUUGGCAUCAUAUGAACCAAGAACAAUUAAAUUAAAAAGAGACUUUUAAAAGUUAGAGAUUGCCUUUUUAAAGCUUAUUAAAAUCAGCAUGUUAACAUGCCUGUCUCUGAAUUAGCUCUCACACUUGAUUGCCAUCAUUAAAACGAGUUGUUCGGGUGCUGCUCAAAGCCGAUUCUUACUAGUUAUUAACUUGAAAUCUCUUUCCAUUGAAAUGU